UUGCCGCCGGGGACCGGCGCAGGGUGGAGUAACGCGGAUGCGACCUGCCCGUUGCAGGGGGAUAAUCGGGAGAAAUCCCGUCUAAUACCGCGUAAUGCCGCGGGGCUGCAUGGCCCUGCGGCCAAAGGAAGCGAUUCCGGCAACGGAUGGGCAUGCGUGACAUUAGCUAGUUGGCGGGGCAACGGCCCACCAAGGCGACGAUGUCUAGGGGUUCUGAGAGGAAGGUCCCCCACACUGGUACUGAGACACGGACCAGACUCCUACGGGAGGCAGCAGUGAGGAAUAUUGGUCAAUGGGCGCGAGCCUGAACCAGCCAAGUCGCGUGAGAGAUGACGGCCCUACGGGUUGUAAACCUCUUUUGUCGGGGAGCAAAUUCCGCCACGCGUGGCGGAGUCGAGAGUACCCGAAGAAAAAGCAUCGGCUAACUCCGUGCCAGCAGCCGCGGUAAUACGGAGGAUGCGAGCGUUAUCCGGAUUUAUUGGGUUUAAAGGGUGCGUAGGCGGACUGUCAAGUCAGCGGUAAAAUACGGGGGCUCAACCUCCGCCCGCCGUUGAAACUGACGGUCUUGAGUGGGCGAGAAGUAUGCGGAAUGCGUGGUGUAGCGGUGAAAUGCAUAGAUAUCACGCAGAACUCCGAUUGCGAAGGCAGCAUACCGGCGCCCAACUGACGCUGAAGCACGAAAGCGUGGGUAUCG
rnacentral:rRNA from 1 species